rnacentral:pre_miRNA from 1 species
CUAGUACUCCCUCCGUUCGGAAUUACUUGUCUCGAAAAUAGAUGUAUCUAGAACUAAAAUACAUCUAGAUACAUCCAUUUCUACGACAAGUAAUUCCGAACGGAGGGAGUACUAC